AUAUAUUAGAUAAUAUUAAAUUAAAAUCGGGGACAAGUUCAUAUGGAAUGAGUACUAUAAUUAGAUCGGGGACAAAUUCAGAUCGAAUGAGUAAUAUAAUUAUAUCGGGGACAAGUUCAUAUGGAAUGAGUAAUAUAAUUAAUUAGAUCGGGAACAAGUUCAGAUCGAAUGAGUAAUAUAAUUAUAUCGGGGACAAGCUCAUAUGGAAUGAGUAAUAUAAUUAGAUCGGGGACAAGUUCAUAUCGAAUAAGUAAUAUAAUUAGAUCAAAGACAAGUUCAUAUCGAAUGAGUAAUAAAAGUAGAUCAUGGACAAGUUCAGAUCGAAUGAGUAAUAUAAUUCUAUCGGCGACACGUUCAUAUGGAAUGAGUAAUAUAAUU
rnacentral:lncRNA from 1 species